UAAAAAAGCAGUGAAGUCUUAUUCUUAGGGUCUGGGGUUUGUUCAACUCCAAGCAACACUUAAAAUCAGAAACACACUUGCUAAGCUACUAACUGUUAAUUUGAUGCCAAACAGACUCAGUGUUGGUGAUCUAAAAAAAAAAGACCUGCUCUGUUCUCUAUAGAGACUGUGGACUUGAUGGACAGGAUGGGAGAGCUGGUGAACUUGGCAGAGAGAGCACAGAGCACCGACCUCGUCAGCAGUUUGCUGAAGGAGAGAGAGAGCUAUAUUCCAUUACGUGUAUCACGAGGUGAAGGCAGUGAAGGUCCAAAGUAUACUGCAGUGUAUGACUUUGGGACAAGUUACCCUGAGCUAGCAGAGAUUCUGAGAAAACUGUCAAAUCCUUCAAAGGAGAAGGACAAAAGGGGUGGAGCAUCUAAAAGGGGAGGAGUCAGUCAAAACCGCAUCAAAGCAGCUAUCAACUUUAAGAAAGCCAUCACAACACCUCGGAGCUGAAAACACUCUCUUACUAUUUCCUUGUGUUCUUUAACAAUGUUGUAAAUAUUUUAUUUAUAGAAUUGGUUAUGUCAUAUAAAUCAAUGUGAAGAAUAAAUGUUGUUUGUGUAUAUACACAACCAUUCAAAAGUUU
rnacentral:lncRNA from 1 species